rnacentral:rRNA from 1 species
GACGAACGCUGGCGGCGCGCUUAAUACAUGCAAGUCGAGCGAGAACCGGAGCUUCGGCUCCGGGGACAGCGGCGAACGGGUGAGUAACACGUGGGUAACCUGCCCUCGGCACCGGGAUAGCCCGGGGAAACCCGGAUUAAUACCGGAUGGCCCUUUCGGUCUUCGGACCGGUCGGCAAAGGUAGCUUCGGCCUCCGGCCGAGGAUGGGCCCGCGGCGGAUUAGCUUGUUGGGGAGGUAACGGCUCACCAAGGCUCCGAUCCGUAGCUGGUCUGAGAGGACGAUCGGCCACACUGGGACUGAGACACGGCCCAGACUCCUACGGGAGGCAGCAGUAGGGAAUCUUGCGCAAUGGGCGAAAGCCUGACGCAGCGACGCCGCGUGCGGGAAGACGGCCUUCGGGUUGUAAACCGCUUUCAGGAGGGACGAAGCCACUCGGGUGAAUAGCCCAGAGGGUGACGGUACCUCCAGAAGAAGCCCCGGCUAACUACGUGCCAGCAGCCGCAGUAA